UACGUAGGGUGCGAGCGUUGUCCGGAAUUAUUGGGCGUAAAGAGCUUGUAGGCGGUUUGUCGCGUCUGCUGUGAAAAUCCGGGGCUCAACCCCGGACUUGCAGUGGGUACGGGCAGACUAGAGUGUGGUAGGGGAGACUGGAAUUCCUGGUGUAGCGGUGAAAUGCGCAGAUAUCAGGAGGAACACCGGUGGCGAAAGGCGGGGUCUCUGGGGCCGUUACUGACGCUGAGGAGCGAAAGCGUGGGGAGCGAACAGG
rnacentral:rRNA from 1 species